CUCAGAGGGCCUGAGAAGGGUUGCCUGAGAUGUGGAACCCUCUGAUGCUUUCAGCUUAAUGACGUUGACCUCUGUGGAGGAGUUUGAUGAGCUCGAAACUAAUCUGAAGAUUAGGGAGAACUGGGCAGCAAUAGUGUCCCAGCUAUGCAGAAUAGGCGGCAAAACUGUCAAGGAUGGCACGAAGAGGAUGCUGGACAGGCUUUUGAAAAACUCCCUCAUGGCCAAAUUCAACAUGAGAGGUGGCGGUCAUCUGGAGAAAAUAGCCUUCGAAUAAACGGAACUCUUCUCUGUCAUUAUCCAUGCAGUGAUGACAAACUUCAAGUCCGCCACAGAGGUGGAAAUCAAAAAUUCAAUGGCUGAACACCUGAAGCAGGCCCCAGGGAGAGCUGUGUGUGUGUGGGGGGGUAAUUACACAAAAAAAUAGUUCAUAUUUUAU